UAUAUUUUAGUGUAUGAUGCACAAAAGUUUUUGAUACUUUUAGAAAUAGUUUGAUUCUAUUAAAUAUAA
rnacentral:tRNA from 1 species